UCGGGUCGCCCGGUCCGAGCGGAUAUUCUAGCCACGCCGUUCUACUUGCCUUGCUUCCAUCGCCGCGUCUCUCACAUAAACGCACGCUUCCAUCGGGACAAGACAGCCGCGAGCAGCAAAAGGGAGCACGGCGAGGCCGGCGAUGGAGGUCAAGUGCCGGCGUCUGGAGGGGAAGGUGGCCGUCGUGACGGCUUCCACGCAGGGCAUCGGACUCGCCAUCGCCGAGCGCCUCGGCCGGGAGGGUGCCGCGGUCGUCAUCUCCUCCCGCAAGCAGAAAAACGUGGACGAGGCGGUGGAGGGCCUCAGGGCAAAGGGGAUCACUGUUGUGGGGGCCGUCUGCCACGUCUCCAACGCCGAACAGCGCAAGCACCUCAUCGACACGGCCGUCAAGAAUUUUGGACAUAUUGAUAUUGUUGUCUCCAAUGCUGCUGCAAAUCCUUCUGUGGAUAGCAUACUAGAGAUGAAAGAACCAGUUCUUGACAAGCUAUGGGAUAUUAAUGUCAAAGCAUCUAUUCUUCUACUGCAGGACGCUGCACCACAUUUGAGGAAGGGAUCAUCUGUGAUAAUAAUUUCUUCAAUUGCUGGCUAUAAUCCUGAAGCAGCUUUAUCGAUGUAUGGUGUUACAAAGACCGCCCUUUUUGGCCUUACGAAGGCUCUUGCUACUGAGAUGGGCCCAAAUACCCGUGUUAACUGUAUAGCUCCUGGUUUUGUUCCUACACGUUUUGCUGGUUUCCUCACAACUAAUGAGACCAUUAGAAAUGAGCUCAUCGAGAGGAGCAUACUUAAGAGAUUGGGUAGCGUGGAAGACAUGGCUUCAGCCGCCGCUUUCCUGGCAUCCGACGAUGCAUCCUUCAUUACAGCUGAAACAAUUGUUGUUGCUGGAGGAACACAAUCAAGACUAUAGAUCUGGCUGAAGUCUUGAGUGCCAAUCAGCUACAGAAUUGCGGUAAACUGGCAGAGUAUGGGAUUGCCGCAGCGUUUCGGUGGUUUAGUUAUUAUUUUGAGCCAAUGAAACAUGCAGGAUCGGUCUUGGAGAAGUCUGGAUGCGUUCUUGUGAAGCUUCGAAGUUUUCUUCGGCAAUGGGUUGUGCUUUGCGACGUCACUCAGGAGGGAGUGCUUCGGCAAUUCAUCGCUAAGCUGGAUAAAUUUCGAGGAGAACUUCUUCGCAUCACCUGGACGUCUUUGCAUGCCUCUGUCUGAAGCAAAUAAAAUCUUAGUUCUUCAGUGUUUUUUGCGUCUGUAGUCUGUACUGGUGAUGAUGCUGCUGGUGAUCCUUAGUAGUUCCUUUUAUGUCUGGGACCUGUUGUUUCUUUUAGUGUUGCUUUCUGGGCUGUAUAACUGAUUCUCUGUGGCUUCAUUAGCAAUGAAAUGGAGCAGGGGGGAACCCCUUUUAUUCAAAAAAAUAAAAAAUCUUCAUGCCUUA